AUAAAUAGAAAAAAUGAAUAAUAGAACCGACCCGACCCGACCCGACCCGACCAACACGAAUAUAUAGUCGGGACUCUCGUGAGAGAUUCAGGGCGCACCGAGAUUAAAGAAAGUGGAAGUUGAAGAGUGAGAAGCUCAACUUCUGAAGCAAUGCGAAGAGCGGGGCUUUAUAAUCGGCAGCAUGCGAAGCAAGUGGGAGGAGGAGCGAGUGUGAAGGCCAAGAUUGGGAAGCUAUUGCUCGCCGUUGUCGUCCUCUUGAUCUGCACCGUGUCCUUGCUCUUUACGUCCGCCUCCACCAGUGGCGGUGCUGCUGGAUCUGGCUAUCGCUCUGAGAUCAAUUUGGAAAAACUUUGGAGAAGUGCUGACUCUGGAGGUUGGAGGCCGUCAUCAGCUCCACGAUCGGAUUGGCCUCCUCCACCAAGCGAGACUAACGGCUACCUACGUGUGCGCUGUAAUGGUGGUCUCAAUCAACAACGUACUGCGAUCUGUAAUGCAGUUCUGGCAGCAAGAAUAAUGAACGCUACCCUUGUGCUGCCGGAAUUGGAUGCAAACUCAUUUUGGCAUGAUGACAGUGGUUUUCAGGGAAUCUAUGAUGUUGAGCAUUUCAUCAAGUCAUUAAGGUUUGAUGUAAAUAUUGUAGAAAAGAUGCCUGAAAUUCGCAAAAAUGGGAAGACCAAGAAGAUAAAAGCUGUACAGCUCCGACCACCAAGAGAUGCUCCUAUCAGUUGGUAUACUACAGAUGCUCUUCAGAAAAUGAAGGAGCAUGGGGCUAUCUAUCUAACUCCCUUUUCACAUCGUUUGGCGGAAGAAAUUGACAACGCCGAGUACCAACGGCUGAGGUGCAGGGUUAACUAUCAUGCUCUGAUAUUUAAGCCAAAUAUUAUGAAGUUAAGUCAAUCAAUAGUUGAUAAGCUCCGUACACAAGGUCACUUCAUGUCUAUACAUCUUCGUUUUGAGAUGGAUAUGCUGGCAUUUGCUGGGUGCUUUGAUAUCUUUAACCCAAAAGAGCAAGAGAUUUUGAAGAAGUAUCGAAAUGAAAAUUUUGCACCAAAGAAGCUUGUUUAUAAGGAAAGAAGAGCAAUCGGAAAAUGCCCAUUAACUCCAGAAGAGGUCGGUCUUAUUUUACGCGCAAUGGAAUUUAACAAUUCUACCAGGAUAUACCUAGCUGCUGGUGAACUAUUUGGUGGGGAGAGAUUCAUGAAACCAUUCCGUGCUUUGUUCCCUCACCUUGAGAACCACAGUUCUGUGGAGCACUCAGAUGAGCUACCAGAGAACACCCAGGGAUUAAUAGGGUCUGCAGUGGAUUACAUGGUUUGUCUCCUUUCUGAUAUUUUUAUGCCUACAUAUGAUGGACCUAGCAACUUUGCCAACAAUCUCCUUGGACACCGCCUCUAUUAUGGUUUCCGGACCACAAUUAGACCUGAUAGAAAAGCCCUUGCUCCAAUCUUCAUUGAUCGUGAAAAAGGACGAAAAUCAGGUUUCGAAGAAGCUGUUAGGCAAGUGAUGCUAAAAACAAACCUUGGCGGCCCUCACAAGCGGAUCUCACCAGAGUCUUUCUAUACAAAUUCUUGGCCAGAAUGCUUCUGCCAAACAUCUCCAAAGAAUCUGGCAGAUAAAUGUCCACCAGAUAAUGUUUUGGAAAUUCUGAACAGCCAGUUAAGUCAAGAGAACGAUGAUCCGGAAUCAAAUUCAACAUCUGUUAGAGAGAGAUGAUACAACAACCUCAGGAUUUGUAGUUGCUGAUAGCUCCUUCCCCAUACUAUAGAUUAUUGAACCCCUGUGUGCCUUAAGGAUAAGGAAUGGGUUUCUACAAUCAUGCUCUGCCUUUCAGGCUUUGAUCUUGGGCAUUUGGAGGUAGGGUUGAGUUUAUCUCUGGGUUUAUAUCACUGUUCUUCACAGUAUGGACAAAGAGAAGGGCAAGUUGACAAUAUUUGAUCGACCUCUUUGUAUAAUGAUCAUCGUAUAGUAUUACUUCGCUUUACCAAAAUCCACUAUUGGAUUAUUACUUUGGUAUACUCAUUCUAGAUUUGACACGCAUUGUAUUAUUCACUUUAAUAUAGUUUUUGAAAAUCUAAA